UGGGGAAUUGUUCGCAAUGGGCGCAAGCCUGACGACGCAACGCCGCGUGGAGGACGAAGAUCUUCGGAUCGUAAACUCCUGUCGAGCGGAACGAACGGCUCCCGGUGUAAUACGCCGGGGGAGUGACGGUACCGCGAGAGGAAGCCCCGGCUAACUCCGUGCCAGCAGCCGCGGUAAUACGGGGGGGGCAAGCGUUGUUCGGAAUUACUGGGCGUAAAGGGCGCGUAGGCGGCCGCCUCAGUCGAACGUGAAAUCCCCGGGCUCAACCCGGGAACUGCGUCCGAUACUGGGUGGCUCGAAUCCGGGAGAGGGAUGCGGAAUUCCAGGUGUAGCGGUGAAAUGCGUAGAUAUCUGGAGGAACACCGGUGGCGAAGGCGGCAUCCUGGACCGGUAUUGACGCUGAGGCGCGAAAGCCAGGGGAGCAAACGGG
rnacentral:rRNA from 1 species